GACCUAUUUCUAGAGAUCCUUCUUUGGGGGAAGUUUUUCUCUAUGAGCCCAUACUCCUCUGAUAUGGCCCCCUGUCUUCAAAGCACUGCUCAUCUGCCAACUUCUUUAACACACAAAGUGAUACUGAUUUGCACCUUACCAGAGGAAGAAAAAAUUACCUGCCAGUAAAAUCUCUUUAAAACAUUCCCUGUUGCAUCCUACGACCUUUUGAAGGGAAGCGGGUCCUGACAGAAGCGUGGGAACUGCUUCAAAAGGCGUCACAGCCGAAAGAGAAGGAUUUCGCUAAACUAGGAGGAAACCCAAGUCACACACGGGGCCUCGGGGCGUGGGGCUGCAUCAACGGGAAUCAUCACGCCGGGAUCUUAGUGCAGACAGCGUCCGCCGGGCGCCUUCAGCAGUGAGGGGAGUUGAGGCGGGCAACGCCGCGGGGGAGCAGCGCUGGUCCGUACCACUGCGUACCUUGCAGGGGAGCGCCGCUCUCCUCAGCGUAGCGUGGCUCCCCAGAGCCGCCCCGUGGAGGAGCCCAGCAGUGCAACCCUCGCUGCCACC